GGCUCAGAUUGAACGCUGGCGGCAGGCCUAACACAUGCAAGUCGAGCGNUAGCACAGGAGAGCUUGCUUUUUGGGUGACGAGCGGCGGACGGGUGAGUAAUGUCUGGGAAACUGCCUGAUGGAGGGGGAUAACUACUGGAAACGGUAGCUAAUACCGCAUAACGUCGCAAGACCAAAGAGGGGGACCUUCGGGCCUCUUGCCAUCAGAUGUGCCCAGAUGGGAUUAGCUAGUAGGUGGGGUAAUGGCUCACCUAGGCGACGAUCCCUAGCUGGUCUGAGAGGAUGACCAGCCACACUGGAACUGAGACACGGUCCAGACUCCUACGGGAGGCAGCAGUGGGGAAUAUUGCACAAUGGGCGCAAGCCUGAUGCAGCCAUGCCGCGUGUAUGAAGAAGGCCUUCGGGUUGUAAAGUACUUUCAGCGAGGAGGAAGGCAUUGUGGUUAAUAACCACAGUGAUUGACGUUACUCGCAGAAGAAGCACCGGCUAA
rnacentral:rRNA from 1 species